rnacentral:rRNA from 1 species
UAACGCGUGAGGAACCUGCCUCAAAGAGGGGGACAACAGUUGGAAACGACUGCUAAUACCGCAUAAGCCCACAGCUCGGCAUCGAGCAGAGGGAAAGGAGUGAUCCGCUUUGAGAUGGCCUCGCGUCCGAUUAGCUAGUUGGUGAGGUAAUGGCCCACCAAGGCGACGAUCGGUAGCCGGACUGAGAGGUUGAACGGCCACAUUGGGACUGAGACACGGCCCAG